rnacentral:rRNA from 1 species
CCUACGGGGGGCAGCAGUGGGGAAUAUUGGACAAUGGGCGAAAGCCUGAUCCAGCCAUGCCGCGUGUGUGAAGAAGGCCUUCGGGUUGUAAAGCACUUUCAGUGGGGAAGAAAGCCUUGGGGCUAAUACCCUCGAGGAAGGACAUCACCCACAGAAGAAGCACCGGCUAACUCCGUGCCAGCAGCCGCGGUAAUACGGAGGGUGCGAGCGUUAAUCGGAAUUACUGGGCGUAAAGCGCGCGUAGGCGGUCUGAUAAGCCGGUUGUGAAAGCCCCGGGCUCAACCUGGGAACGGCAUCCGGAACUGUCAGGCUAGAGUGCAGGAGAGGAAGGUAGAAUUCCCGGUGUAGCGUUGAAAUGCGUAGAGAUCGGGAGGAAUACCAGUGGCGAAGGCGGCCUUCUGGACUGACACUGACGCUGAGGUGCGAAAGCGUGGGUAGCAAACAGGAUUAGAUACCCGGUAGUC